UACGUAGGUGGCAAGCGUUGUCCGGAUUUACUGGGCGUAAAGAGCGCGCAGGCGGUCGAUCAAGUCGCGUGUGAAAGCCCCCGGCUCAACCGGGGAGGGUCGUCGGGGACUGGGGCGCUUGAGGGCGGUAGGGGCCGGUGGAAUUCCCGGUGUAGUGGUGAAAUGCGUAGAGAUCGGGAGGAACACCAGUAGCGAAGGCGGCCGGCUGGGCCGACCCUGACGCUGAGGCGCGAAGGCGUGGGGAGCGAACGGG
rnacentral:rRNA from 1 species